AGUUUACCCUGUAGGUAUCGGUCAGUGUAUCCUGUAGGUAUCGGUCAGUGUACCCUGUAGGUAUCGGUCAGUUUACCCUGUAGGUAUCCUCUCAGUUUACCCUGUAGGUAUCGGUCAGUGUACCCUGUAGGUAUCGGUCAGUGUACCCUGUAGGUAUCGGUCAGUUUACCCUGUAGGUAUCGGUCAGUUUACCCUGUAGGUAUCGGUCAGUGUACCCUGUAGGUAUCGGUCAGUGUACCCUGUAGGUAUCGGUCAGUGUACCCUGUAGGUAUCGGUCAGUGUACCCUGUAGGUAUCGGUCAGUUUACCCUGUAGGUAUCGGUCAGUUUACCCUGUAGGUAUCGGUCAGUUUACCCUGUAGGUAUCGGUCAGUUUACCCUGUAGGUAUCUCUCAGUGUACCCUGUAGGUAUCGGUCAGUGUACCCUGUAGGUAUCGGUCAGUUUACCCUGUAGGUAUCCUCUCAGUGUACCCUGUAGGUAUCGGUCAGUUUACCCUGUAGGUAUCGGUCAGUUUAACCUGUAGGUAUCGGUCAGUGUACCCUGUAGGUAUCGGUCAGUUUACCCUGUAGGUAUCGGUCAGUGUACCCUGUAGGUAUCGGUCAGUUUACCCUGUAGGUAUCGGUCAGUGUACCCUGUAGGUAUCGGUCAGUGUACCCUGUAGGUAUCCUCUCAGUUUACCCUGUAGGUAUCGGUCAGUGUACCCUGUAGGUAUCGGUCAGUUUACCCUGUAGGUAUCGGUCAGUUUACCCUGUAGGUAUCGGUCAGUUUACCCUGUAGGUAUCCUCUCAGUGUACCCUGUAGGUAUCGGUCAGUGUACCCUGUAGGUAUCCUCUCAGUGUACCCUGUAGGUAUCGGUCAGUGUACCCUGUAGGUAUCCUCUCAGUUUACCCUAUUUGAAAGCUGAGUUGGAUUAGAGCUACGGCUUUAUGCUACUGGAGUUGAGUUGGAUUAGAGCUACGGCCUUAUGCUACUGGAGUUGAGUUGGAUUAGAGCUACGGCGUUAUGCUACUGGAGUUGAGUUGGAUUAGAGCUACGGCGUUAUGCUACUGGAUUUGAGUUGGAUUAGAGCUACGGCGUUAUGCUACUGGAGUUGCAUUGUACGGGACUUAAUGUGCGUGCAUGGUGUGAAUAUCGGGUUACCAAUCCAAUGCUCUAAACCUGAUAUUUGAAAAUAAGACAUUUUAGAAAUGAAUUGAAAUGAUUAAGUAUAGAGUACGUUGAAGUUUCUACUUUAUCCAUAUUUAUAACAUAUUUUUUAUCUCCUGAAAUUCCACACCAUUGAUUUAAUGUGUCUUACUGUUAAAGGUGUUGAAAGAUAUACAGUACAGACUAACCACAUGUGUUUUCCGUUUUUAGUUCUCUCUCUGAAAUACAACAGAACCUGAUGUCCCACCAUUCAUGUGACAUGUAUGGUAGGUUACUGUAAAUGUGACAAUGUGACAUGUCUGGUAGGUUACUGUAAAUGUGACAUGUCUGGUAGGUUACUGUAAAUGUGACAUGUCUGGU